UUACUUUUGUAGAAGCCUGAACCCCCUCAUACGUGGGGGUACAUACAUAUCUCCUUUUCAGUUGGAGUGUAUGUCAUGGUUUUGUAACUUUGCUAUUGGUAUUCCACAUCAUAACAUCAUGGCCAAAAGAGAAGAACUACGUAUCCCAGAGGACCUCACGGUCAGAGAAGGAAGAUACAUCAUGGAAGAUACGUCAUCUGGUUGUGCGUGGUCUUUUUCACUUUUCGCUUGCUGCCAGGGAGAGGAGUGGGUGUGUGCUUUCCAAGCCAUGCGCCUUCAUCAACUAGACAGAGGCCCCAUCUGGAGUACUGCAUCCAUGUGUGAGGCGCCCAGCACAAGAAAGACGCAGAGCUCUUGGAACAGGUCCAGAGGAGGACCACUAAGAUGAUCAGAGGGCUGGAGCACCUAUGAAGAAAAGAAAGAAGUUUUGGAACCAUGGCUCAUAGAGCUUUUAACCUUUUGUGGAGACUGCCUGAUGAGGUUCUGCACAGAUGCCUUUAUGGAAUGAGAGAAGUUCUAUGAGAGAGAGAAGAACAUUUCAGCUUCUUGUGCUGCCCUGCCAGUGAGGAGACGGGGGGUGCAAAGAAGCUGAGGUGGGACAGAACCAGGACAGCUGACCCAAAAUGUCCAAAGGAAUAUCCUAUACCAUAUGACAUAGUUCUGACAAUAAAACUGGGGUAAGGAAACUGGAAGGGAAAGAUGUCUGGAGUGUUUGUCUUCUCAAGAAAUCAUUACAUGUUAUGAGCAGGGCUAUACUGGAAAUGGCUGAACAUCUGCCUGAUGAUGGGAAGAAUUGAAUGAAUUCCUUGUUUUGUUUUGUUUUCAUGCAUAAUUUUUUCUUUAUCUAUUAAUCUGCCUUUAUUGCAACUCAUGAGUUCUUGAACUUUUACCUUUCUGGUUCUCUCCCUCACUCCACUGCAGAGACUGAGUGAGCUGUGUCGUGCUGAGCUGCCUGCCAGGGUUAAACCACAGCAGUAGUGCACCCAACAGAGGACUGGAAGAGUUUGAGAUUAUGACAGAUUUGACUGGAGUAUGGAGCGUGCUACACCAAAUGCAUAGUUGUUAUACUCUUCAGCUGCUAAUUGGUAUGCUCCCGCAGUUUUCCUGGGUCUUGCUUGCCUUACUGUAUUUUGGAGUCUACUAUCUGUUAGUGGAUGCUUUUGCUCUGUCUUCCCUCUCCACUUUCUACUUUCCACUCUCCCCUCUCCUCAGAAAACAAACAAACAAUAAUAGUAAUAAUAAUAGUAAUAGUAAUAAAACAAAACAAACAAACAAAACAAAACAAAACAAAAAAACCCGGAGGUUUUUAAUCAGUAGAUGGCAGUAAGAGCUAGCAAGAAGCCUGAAAGGGAGUCUCACAGACCUACACAUUAAUCAUACAUAUAGCAAAUUCCACAAAGUACAAGCCGACAAAGACCCUGCUUUACCACAAUCAAUCUUUAUUCACCACUAGAUUACAGUGGUUAGAUAUAUUUGAUUGCCACAGGUCCAAGAAAAAGCUUAUAAAUAACUAUAAAUGUAAUCGGCUUAAAUUUUUGCCAUUGUAUUUUUUGGUUUUAUUUUUGUUGUAGGCUGAGAUUGGGGUGCAAUCUGUUUAUCCUUAGAUUUGUUGUAUGACCACCCAGUCCAUCUGUCACCUUGACUUUGAAGCUGUAAUUUUAAUGUUUGGCUCUGUAAAUGUUUAAAGCAUCAUUACAAAUUUACAAAGGGAAAGAUACUGCUAACGGUGCAGCUGAAAUAAGACUGUCUCAGCUCACUUGUCUUUACUCCAAGACUUUCACUGCUGUGUGCCUGUGUUUUAAGCUGAAAUGAUAUCACAACAGUGAAGUAAUGCUGCAUUGUACUGCAGGAUCCAUUUUGGACAGCUCUAUUCUCUAGCCUGCAUUGCUUUUUCAAAAAGUCACAAUGUACAAUGGAUGUUCUCUUUAUUCACUUGUGAAAGGUAUGAAUUCAUGUAUUUUUCUAACAUACACUCAGCAAAAAAAGCAGUGUAAGUAUACUUGAAAAAAAAAAAAAAAAGAAAAUAGAAUAAUAAUGUUGAUUUACUUUCCAGCUCACUAUCUAUAUAUAGUUAGAAAUGUAUAUUUAAUUUUCUGUAAAUUUGCAAGCUUUUUAACUGUGUAAUAUAUAUAAAAUUUGAAAUCCACACUGUAUUUCUCUGUUUGACUCUAUUUGUUUAAGCUAUGUAUUUGUGUACCAAUCAGACCUAUGAUAGUUUUAUUUAACUUCACAGUCCUUUUUCUGUGAAAGAAAAUUGUCUUUUUCUGCUUCCCAUUCAGUAGUACAGAUGUACAAGAAUUUUGUAACAAUCUUAAAUUUUCUUGCUUAAUAAAAAUAUUUUCACAGUAUAACACUGAAAUAACAUCAUGUAAGAUUGAAAGAAAAAAGAGAAACACAAAAUUAAAGAGAAGUUUGUGGCCUUUAGUUAUAAAUAUAGAGGAGUUUAUGGAGGCCACAAUGAAACAAUCAGCUCUGAAAGAAGUUUGAGACAAGAAAGCAUUAUUUCCAUAGGAGGUGAGUAGGGUCAGGGCACUGGUUCUGAAAAGCACCAUAAACUUUUGAAAGAUAUAAUUAAUGAUGAAAACAGGCAGACAGAUUAAGAGGUGCAUAUAUGUGUGCAUAGAUAUGUACAUUAUAUAUAAAUAUAAAUGAUAUAGUUACAGAUAUUGAUAGCAUAAUUAAUUUCUAGUUGGUUAAUAUUAGGAACCGCUAUAUAGCAUAGUAGUUGCAUUUGCUGUGGGGUGCUGGCAUUAAGAAAUUUGUAUACCAUGGUUAAACAUAUAUACAGCAAUGAAUUCAACUCAGUAAGUGUUCCCUCUCCCCCUACAAAGUACACUGAUGUUUUAUAUUCUGUUGAAAUCAAUUGAAGUGUAUCACAUUGGCAUCCAAAGAAAACAACAGUUGGUGAUUUCAGAUUUCCCAGGUGAGGACUGCAAUCAGUUGAUCAAACUGCAAUUGCUUUUUACUCUGGGGUAAAUACAAAUAUGCAUGGAUUGUUCUUUGUGGUCAUGCUUCAGUGGUAUCCAGCUAGCUUCUGACAUCACCAGGUCUCCUUUACAGGCAGAUAAUUUUAUCCUUUUGCCAAGGACAGCCACUUUAGUCACAGCAUUUUGUAUCUGCCUUGGCUGCAGGAGAGUCAUCUCUUUUAACACAUUCAGAAACGAAUAUAUUUUACCAACAAAUUCUCCAUUCUAACAGUUUUCCAUCAUUUGUGAUUUUUUAUUCUUUUAUGUGGCCCUUUUACAUUAAAGCUAAACCAGAGCAUUCCUUCAUAAAUAAAUAAAUAAAUAAAUCUAGCUGAUUGAGUGCCAAAAACUGCACAAUAGACUUCACUAAGAGCUGAGAUUUAUUCAUUGCAAGCAUAAAGCAUUUGAGUACUCUGCAAUUUAAUCUUUUUUUUUUUUUUUUUUUUUUUCACUUUCAUCAAGCAAUUGGUAGGCUGUAGAGAGUUCUAGCAAUUUUUUUGAUUAAUUCAGUACAAUAUUACCUUUGGUUCUCUAUCAGCAUGAAGGUUAUAAAAACAAUAGCAUUUAAGAUAUAGAAAAUAUCUCAAAAAGGUGACAAUAAUACUAAAUAUGUAUUCUAUUUUUUGACAAAAAUGUCGAUGCAGGACUGAAAAGGAGUAAUAAAAUACCACUGUGAUAUUAACACUUUGUGGGAGGACACUGUCAUCUUUGUAAUUUAAUGCUUUGUUUGUUUUUCAUAGUUUUUACACUGGCAGAAUAUCCAGAGCCCAGUAUAAAUUUUUAAAAAGUCAGAAAUUCAUUAAUACUUCUCUUUAUGUCAUGUUCACAGAUUGAAUCUGAUUGGAAUUUCAAAGAAGGUCAGAGUGAACUUUUCAAGUUUUAUGUGAAUAAAAACACCCAACAGGAUCAAAACCUAUUCCACUUUAUUCAUUCAGAAUAUAAUCAAAUAAAUAUGGGCUUAACAGCUUCUUUCUUUAACCCCAAAUUCAAAAGGCUUAUGUGAGUUCUUCCAUUACCUUGCUAUUGUGGAAAUACUGAGAAGCAACUUCCUCUCCAUUUCAAGUUUCAUACUGGAAUUAAUGCACUAAUAUCUGUCUUGGGAAACAGGUAUUUGUAAUGUUAAUUCAGUCCUCAUCAGCAUCAUAACUUUAGAGCUAAUGACAAAAUGAUGUAACAAGAUAAUGGAGUCUGAAAGUGAACAAUAGAAAUUAUGUUCCACUCCCCAAUCCAGACACAUUUUUUAAAUAUUAGAGAUGUGGAACAAAGGUAAUGAGAAUCUGACAAGUCACUCACUAUUUGACAGUAAGGAGAAAUACAGAGAAAAAGAGAGUGUUGAAGACUCAAAAAGUGCAGUGGGAGGAAACACAGCACCAACUGUACAGAAGCAAUUUUCAUGUCACAGUCUGUAUUAAGGAAUUAAUGUCAGUUUUUCUCCUCACUUCAAAAUAUUGAUAUUUAAAACAAUCAAAACGGUUUUAUUCAAAAAGUUCCAGUAGCAGCAGUAUUAAAUUAUAGAAUUAUUUUAUUAAAUUAAACAGAAAAAUACUGAGGUUUUAUUAGCUGUGUAGAGAUGACAGGUAACCCCUUUUCUUCAACAGACUGGUGUAAGAGGGUGAUCUUAUAUUUAUUGACUUGCCACACUCUCGUGUGAUCUGUCUUUUGUACAUGUAGCUAUCUGCCAAUCAGAAGGCAGAUAGUGGAAAAUACCUUUCUCCAUCUCUUUGCCUGUGUACUCAUCCUCAUCCACAAAAUAUUUCCUUCACUUCAACAGUGUAAGUCCAUUUAAAAGUAUACAGAAACUACCAUGACUUACUAGAUUAUUACAAGAUUUAGAGGAAUAAAGUUAUGUUCUUUGAGACUAAUUAUUUUUGCUUCUGGCUUUCAUUGUAUUCUGUACAUCAACAGGCUUCCUGUUUGAAAAACAGUUCACUUUUAAAUGGCUUCAUGCUGUUAUCCAAGAUAUUAUAAAUUUGGUAUAG
ensembl:lncRNA